rnacentral:rRNA from 1 species
AUGGAGGUGGUGACCGGAGCUAUGACCACCCUCCUGCCCACGCUCGCAGGCCUGCUCAAGGAGGAGUAUGACCUGCACAAGAACACCAGGGGUGAGAUCAGGUUCCUCAAAGCCGAGCUGGAGAGCAUGGAGACAGCCCUGCUCAAGAUUUCUGAGGCACCUUUGGAUCAGCAACCUGACGUCCAGGUCAAACUCUGGGCGAAGGAAGUCAGGGAGCUAUCUUAUGAAAUCGAGGACAGUGUCGAUAAAUUCCUGGUGCGUCUUGAUAGACGUGCACAAAAAAAUCCGCAUAGCUUCAUGGGCUUCAUCCAUAAGAGCAUCGAUCUGAUGACGAAGGCUAAAAUCCGCCACAAGAUGGGCACUGAGAUCAAAGACAUCAGGAGCCGUAUCAAGGAGGUCAGCGAGCGACGCGAUAGGUACAAGGUUGACAGUGUAGCUUCCAAGCCUGCUGCCGGGUCAACUAUUGAGAGCCUUCGCCUAUCAGCUCUAUACAAAGAGGCAACGGAGCUCAUUGGCACUGAAGAUAAGGAAAAUGACCUAGUUAAGAGGCUGACAGAGGGGGAUGCGGCAUCCAAGCAGCAACUGAAGAUAGUCUCUGUUGUCGGUUUUGGUGGCUUAGGAAAAACAACCCUCGCUAAUGUGGUGUAUCAGAAGCUUAAGUCGCAAUUCGACUGUGAGGCCUUUGUUUCCUUGUCUCUUAAUCCUAACAUGAAGAAUAUUUUAAGAGACAUGCUCCAUCAGCUUGAGAAGCACAACUAUAGUGGCAUGAGCAAACAGAUGUGGGGUGAAGCACAACUUGUGCGUGAGCUAAGAGAUUUUCUUCUAAACAAGAGGUACCUCAUUGUGAUUGAUGACAUAUGGAAGAGUUCUGCAUGGAAAACCAUCAAACAUGCUUUGAUUGAGAACAAAUGUGGAAGUAGAAUAAUCACAACAACUCGCAAUCUUGAUAUUGCCAAACAAAUUGGUGGUGUUUAUGUCCUAAAGCCACUUACUCUUGCACACUCAAGAAAAUUAUUCUGCAAAAGAAUAUUUGGUACUGAAGACAAAUGUCCUCCUAAUCAAUUAGCUGAAGUAUCACAUAACAUUAUAAAGAGAUGUGGUGGAGUACCAUUAGCUAUCAUGACGAUAGCUAGUAUGUUAGCCAGUAAAAAAGGAAAUGAUUGGUCCAAGGUGUACCAAGCUAUGGGUUCUGGGCUACAAGAUAGUCCUGAUGUGAAGGACAUGAGAAGGAUUUUAUCAGUCAGUUACUAUGAUCUACCUCCACAUCUAAAGACAUGUUUAUUGUCUAUAAGUUUUUACCCAGAGGAUUAUAAGAUUUUAGCUAGAGAUUUGAUAUGGCGGUGGAUUGGCGAAGGUUUUGUUCGGGAAGAACAUGGGAAGAGCUUGUAUGAAAUAGGAGAAGAUUAUUUCAGUGAGCUCAUUAACAAAAGCUUGAUCCAACCGGCGGAUAUCACUAAUGAUAAAGCGAGUGCUUGCCGUGUACAUGAUAUGGUGCUUGAUCUCAUCACUUCCUUGUCAAGGGAAGAGAAUUUCCUAACAUAUAUAGGUGGUCAGCAACCAGUAUCUGCACCAAGUAAGGUAUGUCGAUUAUCAGUCCAAAGCCUAAAUGAAGGCAAUGUCAAGCAGAUGGCAACCAUGAGUGUCUCCCAUUUGCGGUCACUCAGUGUGUUUGAGCAAGAUAUUAGUUUGUUACCAGCACUUUCAAGCUUUUCACUCAUGCGUGCAUUAGACUUAAGUUAUUGUUCAACUGUGGAUAAUCGUCAUGCUAAGGUUAUUUGCAAUAUGUUUCACUUGAGGCAUUUAUGGCUAUGCAAGACAAAUAUCACUCAGAUCCCGGACGAGAUUGGGAAUCUACAGUUCUUGCAAGUAUUGGACGUAAGUGAGACGAAAAUACAAGUGUUACCAGCACCAUUUGUUCAGCUAACACAACUAGUGUACCUUCAUAUUGGCAUAAGUACGAGCCUGCCAGAAGGAAUGGGGAAUUUGAAAUCCCUGCAAGAAUUGAAGGAUAUCUAUGUCACAUCCCCAUCCAUGCUGCAUGGUCUGAGCAAGCUGACGGAAUUGAGGAAUCUUUGUAUCAGGGUUUAUGAAUGGAACGAUGACUAUAAGGAACUUUUCCGGCGGUGUCUCUCCAACCUGGUCAAUCUCAAAACAAUUAAAAUAACCGGUGUCCACCGAAGCAUAGAUUACGGAGUUGACAAUUUGUCGUCUGAGCUACAACAGCUUCAAUGCAUCCAUCUGACUGAUAGCAUAAACUUCAAUAUGCCAAGAUGGAUAUCCUCACUCUCCAACCUUUCUACCCUUCUAAUCCAGCAUCUGGAAACACUCAGAGAAGAGGACCUUCAAGUGCUUGGCAACAUGCCAUCACUCCGCGAUCUUGAUAUAUGGGUGGUAAAAACAACAUAUCGCAGACAAAGGAUGGUGAUCAACAGCAGUUAUCCAUUCCAAUGUCUCGCAAGGCUCAAGAUCGGCAGUAGCAUCAUGGAGCUGAAGUUCGCACAAGGAGCCAUGCAGAGGCUAGAGACCCUUGAGGUUAUUUUAUCAGUGCAGCGGACAUGGGAUCAAUUCGGUGAUUUGGACUUUGGCCUGGAGAACCUUUCUUCGCUUAAACAGGUCUAUGUUGGGAGGUGGUAUGAUGUGUCGUGGUCCAAGCCAGAGCCGGAAGAGGCAGGGGAUGCAAUUUGGCAAGCCGUACACGUGAAUCCCAACAAGCCGACGCUCGAGUUUGUCAUGGUAACUACUAACUACACCGAUUCACCCUUCCAAUUAACACAUUUAGUUCUUCGCCUCGGGAUUAGUUGCUUCUAUAAUUUUGUCUUUCUUUACCGUGCAUACAUAUUUGAUUUCUUACCACAUUCUCUUUUGACAGUUCAAGUUGUGAUGAUGAGUCAGAAAAUCAUUCUGGAAAAUCAUCCUCGUUAA